CCUCGUCGGUAGGGGGGGGAGAAACAACUCCGGUUCGGUUCGUCCUUGGGCGCCUUAAAAGUACAGGUAGUCCUCGCCUGGCGGCCACAAUCGAACCCCACGUUUCUUCCCAAGUGGCUAAGUGAAGCGGUUGUGAAUGUAUUUGGCCCGUGUUAACGACCAUUCUCGCCACGGUUGUUAAGCGGGUCGUUGCGGUUGGUAUGUUAGUCACUGAUCCCUGCUUCCUCCUUGACUUUGCUACUUAUAAGAAGCGGGUGUGUGUGUGUGUAACACGGUUGUUAAGUGAGCCCUUUUUCCUUCUUCACUUGUAAGAAGGUGGUGAUCCCCGGACACUGCAAUGGUCGUAAAGAUGAGUCAGUUGCCAAGCACCUGAAUUUUGAUCGCAGGAGCGUUGGGGAUUCUGCCAUGAUGGAUGUUGGAAACAGAGAAGAAAAAUAGCAUAAGCCUUAGGUUCGUGGUAAUAGCUGACUGAAUUCAUCAGGGGUCAGAAACUAAGCAGUACUGGAUCUGACCCUGCUUGCUGGAACAUCUGCUUUAGGAAAAGCCUGUGCGGUGAGAAGUUGCAACGUGGAGCUGAAAGCAUGUGAAUAGAUUCAUGAGGGAAUGUUGUUUGCCUCUUCAAUUGCAUCAUGGCUCCAUCACUGCGGGGAAAUUUGAUUUAUGAAGCUCAGCUACCACGUCUGUUCUGUGCUCCUGUUUUGUUGCUUAUUUUAGAAACACCAGCAUGGGCUCCUGAUUGGCUACUUUCCUCCCCGAGUAACGUGAUGAUUGGUUGCGCACUCACACUUCGUUGUGUGGGUCUCGCGCCUGUUUGAUUGUGUGUGCAGCAUGCUGCAUACCAAUGGGAUAGGAUAAAGCAAGAAGCCUUUGGAAGCAACUGUUGUGAUCUCGGGGAGAUGUCCUUGAUAGAGCUUUUUCAGCUUUUUCAGCUCAUUAAAAAGGCAAACCAUAUGCCUUUAACCACAGCCAGAGUGUCUACUGUCAAAACAUUAAGAGAGAGCGCUAGGCCGAUUGAAUAAACUUAGCACUAGAGAGCUCGACUAAGAAAGGUGAAGUUAGCCCUACUAUUACUGAAUGAGAAGGAACAGAGCAAGUUAGAGGGGCUUUUUAUCCAGGAAUCACCAGGUGGGUCUUAACUGACUCCAUAGCUGUUAUUUGAGAGAGCUUGCUUGCCUCUCAAAGAAACAAAUUCAGUUGACUUGGUGGCCCUUCUAGUGCAACUGUGGUUGAAAAGACAGGAUGAAGCUGUGAUUAUGGAGGUCUUUCACAAGCAUUGGCAUCAGAGGUGGGUCCCUACCGGUUUGGACCAGUUCCGCUGAGGAGGUAGUAGCUUAGCCGGACAUGAACCCAAACCGGUUCUAUCAGUCCCACUGUAGGUGCUGCCAUCUUGUUUUUUGCUUCUGCGCAUACGCAGAAGCAAUUUCAAUGUAGUUCUGUGCAUGCACCCGAAGUACUCGCGUACCCGAAGCAUGCACUCACCCGAAGCAUGCACCCACUUGAAGUACGUGUGCACCCAAAGCGUGUCCCUGAGCGAAUCAGCAGUAAAAGAAGUCAGAACCCACCCCAGAUUGGCUUUAGCAACUAACGAGACACGUUCAUAAACUCUUGUGGGAAGAAAUAUCCAUCUGGUUCAGUUCCAAAUGGGGGAG